rnacentral:rRNA from 1 species
UACGGAGGGGGCUAGCGUUGUUCGGAAUUACUGGGCGUAAAGCGCACGUAGGCGGCUUGGUAAGUUAGAGGUGAAAGCCCGGAGCUCAACUCCGGAAUUGCCUUUAAGACUGCCGAGCUAGCAGGUGAGAGAGGUGAGUGGAAUUCCGAGUGUAGAGGUGGAAUUCGUAGAUAUUCGGAAGAACACCAAUGGCGAAGGCGGCUCACUGGCUCAUACUGGACGCUGAGGUGCGAAAGCGUGGGGAGCGAACAGG